GCUUAUCACCAUUCCAGAUUGAAUAUACCCGAUCUCGUCUGAUCUCGAAAGUCAAGCAAUCUCGGGCUUGGUUAGUACUUGGAUGGGUGACCGCUUGGGAAACCAAGUGUGAUAAGCA
rfam:Ciona savignyi cont_50810, whole genome shotgun sequence.